GGCGAACGGGUGAGUAAUGCAUCGGAACGUGCCCAAUAGUGGGGGAUAGCCCGGCGAAAGCCGGAUUAAUACCGCAUACGACCUGAGGGUGAAAGCGGGGGAUCGCAAGACCUCGCGCUAUUGGAGCGGCCGAUGUCAGAUUAGGUAGUUGGUGGGGUAAAGGCCUACCAAGCCGACGAUCUGUAGCUGGUCUGAGAGGACGACCAGCCACACUGGGACUGAGACACGGCCCAGACUCCUACGGGAGGCAGCAGUGGGGAAUUUUGGACAAUGGGCGCAAGCCUGAUCCUGCCAUGCCGCGUGCGGGAAGAAGGCCUUCGGGUUGUAAACCGCUUUUGUCAGGGAAGAAACGCACUGGGCUAAUACCCUGGAGUAAUGACGGUACCUGAAGAAUAAGCACCGGCUAACUACGUGCCAGCAGCCGCGGUAAUACGUAGGGUGCAAGCGUUAAUCGGAAUUACUGGGCGUAAAGCGUGCGCAGGUGGUUGUGCAAGACAGAUGUGAAAUCCCCGGGCUUAACCUGGGAACUGCAUUUGUGACUGCACGGCUAGAGUGC
rnacentral:rRNA from 1 species